UUUUUUUUUCUCUUGUUAACGCGUUUUCACCCGGCACAGUGAAAAUCUACGUGGACACCGCCUGCGUUCGCUCCUUGCACGACUCUUAAAGGGUUUAAUUAGUGUUGAGUCAAGGGCUUGAUUAUUUUGCUAUGAUUUUGGAUGAAUAGAAAGAAGAAAAAGAAGAAAAAGAAUAAAAAGAAACAAAUAGUUCAUAUUGAUCUUAUUGAGAGUAAAGACUUCACAUAGAAAAGAGUAUGAUGAGUAAAAGUUGUUGGGAGUUGGCAAAUAUAGCUUUGGUCAUCGUUGCAAUUAAUAGGAAGUAAUAAGAAAAGAGAGGUUUCACAUAUAGAUACAUUAUCAUUGGCAUCUCUUAUGAUUGAGAGCACUUAUUAAAAUAUGACAUGCUAAAGAGUUGAGGUUGGACAAGGAAGACAACAUAAUGAAUUAUGUUUUCUUAUAUCUGAGAUAAAGUAUGUUGUCAUGGAUCCUCUAACAUGUUGAGCUUGCCUUUGCCCCUCAUGCUAGCCAAAUUCUCAGCACCAAGUAGAAAUACUACCUGUGCUUCCAAAUACCCUUAAACCAGUUUUCCCAUGAGAGUCCACUAUAUCUACCUAUGGAUUGAGUAAGAUUCUUUAAGUAAGUUGUCAUCAGUGCAAGGAAUAAAAAUUGCUCUCUAAAUAUGCAUGACUUAUUAGUGCAGAGAAAUAAGCUUUGUACGAACUUACGAACUUGUUGUGAAAGUAAUAAAAGCGACGGACUGCAUAAUAAAGAUCCACAUGCAAGGGGCAAUAUAAAGUGACGUUCUUUUGCAUUAAGAUUUUGUGCAUCAACCCUAAACGCGCAUGACAACCUCUACUUCCCUCUGCGAAGGGCCUAUCUUUUAUUACUACUAGAUGACCAGUUGCGCCAAAUGGCGCAGAGACCCGUUUAAAACAAUAUUCGUGUUGAAAAUAUUUGCAUUUUUUCAUUAACCGUAUAUUUGAGUACAUUUAGUAAGAACUUAUACACCUAUAUAUAAAAGAAAUUAAAUGCAAAUAUUUUCUUAUUAGGUAAUAAUGCCACAAAUUAGAUCAUCAAUAGAUAAAGAUAGUUGAGCCUGCAAUUAGGAACUUCGAGUAGCUGUAAACUUGCAUUAAAAAAAGAGUAAAUACAAGUGACACAAUAAAAUGUACAUGAACUCAUGAACAUUGUGUAAGAGAAGUUAAUAGAAAUAGUGGUCAAUUACAUCAUAUAAUUUGGUUCUAUACUCUUGUGUAUAUAUCCUGAAUGCUACUCCUUUGUGAUCAACUCUUUGUCCUUCAAAUCGAAUGGCAUAGCUACUGCCCCUUGCGGAAAAAGAAAGGGGGACUAUGUAAAUACCCAUAAAUGUAAACUUAUAAUUGCAAGAAAAAUGCCACAAGCACCAUAUAUAAGGAUAUAUUACAAAAUACAAUGCAGUUCAUAGGCUCAUUCUUCAAUUGACAUUCUGGAUAUCAAAUCAAAAUUAUGAGGUAUUGUUGUGAAUUUCAAAACUUCUAAACCAGGUGCUAGCCUCAGAACAUCCUUCAGUAUGUACCUACCACAAAUUAUAGUCAGAUUAAUAAAAUACAUAUCCCUUUUUAGAAGCGAAAAGAUACAACCAUCUAAAAUAGAGAAACUUGGCGGCACGCGGAAUAAAGAAGAUAUCGCUCAUGCUCGCUUGAGACAAGGAAUAUAGCUAAAGAGUUUUCCAAACCCUAAGAACGAACUACAAUAAACAGCCAAGAAAAAUCUAAUAUUCUACAUAUGCUAGACACAUGGAUGUUACUACAAAAAGGGAAGCCAUCAACAAGCAUAAGUAUCUCAUUUUUAGCUACCAAUAUUAGCAAAUAUUCUGUUAUGGGAAUCUAUUUAAUGGUAGAAACUCUGAAUGACGCAAAUAGUCAUUCUUCACAUCAUCAUCUUGCUGGUGACAAAAUAAACACUAUUGUUUCAUUAUAUCAUGACAAGCUAUAUCAAGCGCAUUGUCUCCUUUCACUAUGGCAAACAAUCUUACUAUCAAUGGACAUGUUCUGGGAAAAAAGUGUUUUUAGUUCUCACAAAUCUGCACAUAUUCUCGCAAACUGUAUCUAACAUGUGCAGGUUUUAGAGAACUAAACAAGCUUUGUACAGAAUAUGUGUAGUUCAAGGCUGUAUUUCAGAAAGUCUAACUGUGUCGAAAAAAAAAACUUGAAACCAACACUGUAAAAAAAGCGUGCCUAAGACUGUCAAAAAUUUGAACCUAGUCCAAGCACUUCCUAAAAUACCUUGUUAUGUUCUCCAUGAGUGCACUCAUUAAUCUGUCAGUUGGUGUCAUAAAGAGCAUCUGCGAGACACUUUUUACUGUGCAGCAGCUAGUGCUAUGUAAAAAGGGGUGGAAUCAUCAGGUGAAGAUAGAUCUCUCCUCAUUCAGUUGGUAGUGCACUUCCAUAAAGUUUAUUAGUAGAGAUAUUACAGUUUUUGAUGAUAACAUUCUUAUAUAUAAAACAAAGCCAAUGCCCAAGUACUGAUUUAUGAGUGUGAAACCACAACACAUGUGAGCGAGCAUGCUGUCUUUAUCAACGAGUAGUUCUAUUUUCUCACCACAAUCUAGUACCUGAUGCACCACUGGUUAGAUUAAAUACUGUUAGGGGGAAAACAUACUGAAGCUUCAGACAUAUCCCCAUAGAUAUAGUAUCAGACGAUCUAGGUUUUUUUUACGGGCAGUCACAGACCGAGUUGACGAGCACUCCGCUGCCGCGUGGACCAAUGAUUUUAUGGGCCCAAUGGCAGCCACCCGGUAAAGCAGUCAAAGUUGUAAUAAAAGGCGAAGUGAAUAGUAAAAAUCAAGGGUGAAAAACGAUCAAAGAAGCUAAUCGAACAGCCAGCGAUCGUGCACACGCGAAGGCCCCCAGAACGGCGGGUUGCCCACCAGCGUUUAUAUGUUCGAUGAAACUCAUGGAUUCCGUAACUACAGGUUUACGAAUAACAAAAUCAAUGAAGAAGCUUAUUGUAUAAGCCUACUAAAUUUGCCAACAGUAUGUAACCAAAAGUAGUUAUCUGCACAAAACAGGGAUGCAUACUUUCUCCAGGUCUAGUUUUCACAAAUAAGUUCCUACUGGAUACAGCUACUAACUGAAGUAAAAUCAAGCAUGUAUGCGCUCUGACUAUCACAACUUCCAGUAAACUAAGUAACUAACUAUAUUGAGCAAAAUGUAUAAUGCUCCACAUUAGGUAGGGAGAUGAACACAAGUAGCAGAGUAUAUGCACCUUGAACAUGUUGAUGUUUGCUUUGGUCUCCCCCUCAAGGCCAGCCCACAAAAAGAAGCAAUAAACCUCUGUGCCUCCUCCAUGUCAAUAUGAACCGGCCCUAUAAGGCAGAGAUUUACGUAAACUGAAAGAAUGAACAUCAUUAAACUGUCUUCAGGAGUAAAAGCAUAUAUAUAUAAACUGAGCUGAUCUGCAGGCCCUAUAAGAACUAACGGGAAUGACACGAGAACAAUAUGGUAUAGAAACAGAAGACCUGGGCAAGAACCAAGUAAUGGAAAAAUUACAAACCUAUAUUAUACAUACUAUUACAGUUCGAUAUGAAAAGAUUCUCAAGAGAAAUGUGUAAACUAAAAUACUAAAAAGAAUCAUAGCCAAUUCAAAAAUGGCUGCAUACACAUAUACAGAUUUUCAGGAGAAAUGUGUAAACUAAAACACCUAACCAAUAUUUGAAUCGUGUAUAUGCAAAGCACAUUGCUAGCACGACCCACCAUGCAAACGAUCAUCAUAAAUACUUGUGAAUCUGUUUCAGACCAUACCAACACAACUGGAUAGCAAGAUGAUCAGGGUAAACAAAUUACCUACGGAACCAUGUAUGCUUGUGCACCUAAUCAAACAUCUCUCUAAAAUAGAUCAGUGAAGAUAAUUUGCUCACAGAAUCAUAUAUGCUUAUGCAACUAAUGAAGCAUCUAUAUUAAAUAGCCAUUGAAAAUACAUCUUUAAAGAACAAAGCAGAGAAAGUAAUUUCUUCGCAAAUCGUGUAUGCAUGUCUGUGGAACUAAUUAAUCAUCUCUAUAAAUAGUUACAAAAAAUUAGUCCCAAAAGAUCAACACUGGAGCACACACAAGAGACAUUAGUUCACAUCAAAAUACAUAUUCCAAGGCAUCAGCAAUACAACCCACCUGAAGUUUAGAGGCAGUAUCCAUGACAAAAGCAGACAAGAUCGACAAGAACACCAAAUUCAUAAUUACAGCUAGAACAGUCCAUCGUAAUGUGAAUAACACGCAUAGGUCAGUCAUAAAAAGAGUACUCCACUUUUUACUACCACUAUGGGCUAGCUCUGCUGUCCAAAUGGAAAAUUUGAACCGUCCAUACCACAGAAUGAUUUGAGAAAUCAAACCAUGCAAUACAUAAUCAUUCGAUUGCUAGGGAACAAUUUCUGAGAAGUCCAGAUAAAAGUUAUUGACAGCUAUACCUGAAUACAUCAGUUAAGCCUAUCAGUGUUAUCAGUACAACACAGUUAGUGGCAGCAAGAUAAUCAAGAUAAUUAGAAGUUUCUUCCAUAAUGUUAAUAACUGCCAAGCACUGAUGUAUAUCUCCAUGUAAUCACAUAAUUCUGAUGGUAAGUGUAGCGUGAGAAAUGAACAUGUCAAGCAAGGCUAGUGACAAGAAAGUGGAUCCAGUAGUAACUUACUUCUCACACUCCGCAAGCCCAUAAACCAACUUGAAGAGGGGUGUCCAUCUUCUAUCAGACUGACACACAUAACUGAACGAGAACCAGUUUUUCCACAAGCAAG
rnacentral:lncRNA from 1 species